CUUUACAAUGUUUCUUUUGAUUGGUAGUACCGAAGACUAUUGGAAAAGACAGGAUGCUGCUCAAGUAAUGGCUCAGUUAGUAUGGGAAGGACUUGGACUCGGAGGAAGGACAGAUGUCUGAAACUGAGGCAGGUAGAAUGAUAA